GUGUUGUAAGAAAGGAGAGAAGGUUAGCACUCCCCUUGAUAAGGACGGAUGGGACCCUCGUGGUCUACAACACACAUAAGGCUAUGCCCUCUACUUCGGGGCGCCCUAUUUUUUUUU